CUAGAAAUUAUGUAUCGUUACCAUCAAAUAAAAUUUACUGAUUGACAGGCUUAUCUGGAUGAGUACCAACGCAGCGCACUCAACCACCCCGACUUGUAUCAAGAGGCUUUUCUGAUGAAGACAGGGAAACAAGAAAUGCUCGGAAGGCCAACGUGACUGAGUCUAAGAAUUCUCCUACAGUCUUUGACCGCAUUCUGGAUGGCUCCAUCAAGGCUGACAUUGUGUAUGAGGAUG